AGCGAACGCUGGCGGCAGGCCUAACACAUGCAAGUCGAGCGCCCGUAGCAAUACGGGAGCGGCAGACGGGUGAGUAACACGUGGGAACGUGCCCUUUGGUUCGGAAUAACUCAGGGAAACUUGAGCUCAUACCGGAUAAGUCCUUACGGGGACAGAUUUAUCGCCCAAGGAUGGGCCCGCGUAAGAUUAGCUUGUUGGUGGGGUAAUGGCCUACCAAGGCGACGAGCUUUAGCUGGUCUGAGAGGAUGAUCAGCCACACUGGGACUGAGACACGGCCCAGACUCCUACGGGAGGCAGCAGUGGGGAAUAUUGGACAAUGGGCGAAAGCCUGAUCCAGCAAUGCCGCGUGAGUGAUGAAGGCCUUAGGGUUGUAAAGCUCUUUUACCAGGGAUGAUAAUGACAGUACCUGGAGAAUAAGCUCCGGCUAACUCCGUGCCAGCCGCCGCCGUAA
rnacentral:rRNA from 1 species